rnacentral:rRNA from 1 species
GAUGAACGCUGGCGGCGUGCCUAAUACAUGCAAGUCGAGCGAAUGGAUUAAGAGCUUGCUCUUAUGAAGUUAGCGGCGGACGGGUGAGUAACACGUGGGUAACCUGCCCAUAAGACUGGGAUAACUCCGGGAAACCGGGGCUAAUACCGGAUAACAUUUUGAACCGCAUGGUUCGAAAUUGAAAGGCGGCUUCGGCUGUCACUUAUGGAUGGACCCGCGUCGCAUUAGCUAGUUGGUGAGGUAACGGCUCACAAAGGCAACGAUGCGUAGCCGACCUGAGGGGGUGAUCGGCCACACUGGGACUGAGACACGGCCCCGCCUCCUACGGGAGGCAGCAGUAGGGAAUCUUCCGAAAUGGACGAAAGUCUGACGGAGCAACGCCGCGUGAGUGAUGAAGGCUUUCGGGUCGUAAAACUCUGUUGUUAGGGAAGAACAAGUGCUAGUUGAAUAAGCUGGCACCUUGACGGUACCUAACCAGAAAGCCACGGCUAACUACGUGCCAGCCGCCGCCGUAA